UGUAGGUUGAGGAGCAUCUCAGUCAAUUUUCCUGUUUCUACGUACGGAUUCGUACAUAUUUUUUAAACAAUCAGAAUAUGUGUAUUCGUGCGUAGCAAUAGGGGGAUUUGGUGCAAUCAACGGCGU